AAGGUCGAUGCGGGAGAGUUCGACGUCGCAAGACGAGCGAACACCGAAGGAGCAAUCCUCCCCGACAAUCUCUCAGGUACGCGUACCGCAUCGAACUG
rfam:Cryobacterium sp. MLB-32 c84, whole genome shotgun sequence.